GGAACGCAGAGAAGGGCGUACGGGGGAUGCCUAGGCUCUCAGAGGCGAUGAAGGACGCGACAAGCUGCGAAAAGCUGCGGGGAGGGGCACAUACCCUGUGAUCCGCAGGUAUCCGAAUGGGGCAACCCACUAGCAUGAAGUGCUAGUACCCUACGGGGGGCAAACCCGGGGAACUGAAACAUCUAAGUACCCGGAGGAAGAGAAAACAACAGUGAUUCCGUAAGUAGUGGCGAGCGAACGCGGAUUAGCCCAAACCAGUGCUGUUACGGCAGUGCUGGGGUUGUAGGACCACGUGGUGGGACCAAAAAGUGAAGUGUAAGUACCUGGGAAGGUACACCGCAGAAGGUGAAAGUCCUGUGCACGUAAGUUUUUUGGCCCUAGUGGGAUCCUGAGUAGGGCGGGACCGGAGAAAUCCCGCCUGAAUCCAGCGGCACCAUCCGCUAAGGCUAAAUACUCCUGAGAGACCGAUAGUGAACCAGUACUGUGAAGGAAAGGUGAAAAGUACCCUGAAUAAGGGGGUGAAAUAGAUCCUGAAACCGUGCGCCUACAAGCGGUCGGAGCCCUUACGUGGGGUGACGGCGUGCCUUUUGCAUAAUGAGCCUACGAGUUGCUCCUCUCUGGCAAGGUUAAGACUCUUUGAGGGUCGGAGCCGCAGCGAAAGCGAGUCUGAAUAGGGCGUGCAGUCAGAGGGGGCAGACGCGAAACUUUGUGAUCUACCCAUGGGCAGGUUGAAGGUUGGGUAACACCAACUGGAGGACCGAACCAGUUUCCGUUGAAAAGGAUUUGGAUGACCUGUGGGUAGGGGUGAAAGGCCAAUCAAACUGAGAAAUAGCUCGUACUCCCCGAAAUGCCUUUAGGGGCAGCGUCGUGGUGGAGUCAAGCGGAGGUAGAGCUACCGAUAGGACUAGGGGGAGUCACAUCCUACCGAAUCCUGACGAACUCCGAAUGCCGCUUUGAUAUACACGGCAGUGAGGCCAGGGGUGCUAAGGUCCCUGGCCGAGAGGGAAAGAACCCAGACCGUCGGCUAAGGUCCCCAAGUCCAUACUAAGUUGAACAAAGGGGGUCCAGUUGCUUAGACAGCCAGGAGGUUGGCUUGGAAGCAGCCAUUCCUUUAAAGAGUGCGUAACAGCUCACUGGUCGAGCGACAGGGCAUCGAUAAUAAUCGGGCAUCAAGUAUGGCACCGAAGCUGCGGAUUACACCGUAUGGUGUACUGGUAGGGGAGCAUUCUGACAGCAGUGAAGGCGCUUCGGCAAGGAGCGUUGGAGCGGUCAGAAAAGCAAAUGUAGGCAUAAGUAACGAUAAUGCAGGCGAGAAACCUGCACACCGAAAGACCAAGGUUUCCUGAUCAACGCUAAUCGGAUCAGGGUUAGUCGGGUCCUAAGGCCGAGGCGAAAGCGCAGGUCGAUGGACAACAGGUUAAUAUUCCUGUACCGGCUGCAGCAAGCGAUGCGGUGACGGAGAAGUGAAAGGACCGCGCACUGACGGAAUAGUGCGUUGAAGGCCGUAGGUAGUAGCCCGGGAGUCAAGUACCCUGGGCUAGCUGAAAGCUGAUAGUACUCCAAGGCUUCGGCCACGGAGAUAGUGUCCCUAAUCCGGCUCCCAAGAAAACCCGCUAAGCGUUAUAAAGCUGUAGCCGCCCGUACCGCAAACCGACACAGGUGGUCGAGGAGAGAAUCCUAAGGUGCUCGAGUGAAUCACAGCCAAGGAACUCGGCAAAAUGGCCCUGUAACUUCGGGAGAAGGGGCGCUUCCUCUAAUUUAUUAGAGAAGCCGCAGUGAAAAGGCCCAGGCGACUGUUUAACAAAAACACAUGGCUUUGCCAAAUCGAGAGAUGACGUAUAAGGCCUGACACCUGCCCGGUGCUGGAAGGUUAAGAGGGGAUGUUAGCCGCAAGGCGACGCAUUGAAUCGAAGCCCCAGUAAACGGCGGCCGUAACUAUAACGGUCCUAAGGUAGCGAAAUUCCUUGUCGGGUAAGUUCCGACCUGCACGAAUGGUGUAACGAUCUGGGCGCUGUCUCAGCUGUGAGCUCGGUGAAAUUGUAGUCUCGGUGAAGAUGCCGAGUACCCGCAACGGGACGGAAAGACCCCAUGAACCUUUACUAUAGCUUAGCAUUGACGCUGGGUAACUCAUGUGUAGGAUAGGCCGGAGGCUAUGAAGCGGUGUCGCUAGGCAUCGUGGAGCCAUCCUUGAAAUACGGCCCUUGAGUUGCUUGGCGCCUAACCUGACGAAAAGGGGACAGUGCUUGGUGGGUAGUUUGACUGGGGUGGUCGCCUCCAAAACAGUAACGGAGGCUUUCAAAGGUACCCUCAGUACGCUUGGUAACCGUACGCAGAGCGCAAUAGCAUAAGGGUGCUUGACUGUGAGGCCUACAAGCCGAGCAGGGUCGAAAGACGGAUAUAGUGAUCCGGUGGUUCCGCAUGGAAGGGCCAUCGCUCAAAGGAUAAAAGGUACUCUGGGGAUAACAGGCUGAUCUCCCCCAAGAGCUCAUAUCGACGGGGAGGUUUGGCACCUCGAUGUCGGCUCGUCACGUCCUGGGGCUGGAGAAGGUCCCAAGGGUUCGGCUGUUCGCCGAUUAAAGUGGCACGCGAGCUGGGUUCAGAACGUCGUGAGACAGUUCGGUCCCUAUCUGUUGCGGGCGUUGGAGAUUUGCGGGGUUCUGACCUUAGUACGAGAGGACCGGGUUGGACGAGCCGCUGGUGCACCUGUUGUAUCGCCAGAUGCAGCGCAGGGUAGCUACGCUCGGAUGGGAUAAGCGCUGAAAGCAUCUAAGUGCGAAACCCACCCCAAGAUGAGAUCUCCCUGGAAGGGCCGUGAGAGACGAUCACGUUGAUAGGUGGCAGGUGUAGAGGCAGAAAUGUCACAGCCGAGCCAUACUAAUUGCCCGGGUGCGUUC
rnacentral:rRNA from 1 species